rnacentral:rRNA from 1 species
UACGAAGGGGGCUAGCGUUGCUCGGAAUCACUGGGCGUAAAGGGUGCGUAGGCGGGUCUUUAAGUCAGGGGUGAAAUCCUGGAGCUCAACUCCAGAACUGCCUUUGAUACUGAAGAUCUUGAGUUCGGGAGAGGUGAGUGGAACUGCGAGUGUAGAGGUGAAAUUCGUAGAUAUCUGGAGGAACACCGGUGGCGAAGGCGGCAUCCUGGACCGGUAUUGACGCUGAGGCGCGAAAGCCAGGGGAGCAAACGGG